CAGAAAACUAAGAUCUAUUUCAAUAAAUCACUGGAUUGUUAUAUCAUUUUUAUGGUUCCUGUCUUUAGGAGAGCCAUGCCAGUCAUGUUAUAGGGUAUUCGUUAGAUUUUACAUAAUAAUAAUCGUUUAUGUUGCAGUCUUGCAAUUGACUGCUCCAUAGGUUUACAAGCAAAACAGCUGAUCUUUGAAAAUUAAAAAAUUAAAAAUGCAACAUCGAAAUUGUUCAUUUCUUGUAUGUACUAAUGUGAAAUUUCGAUUUAAUUGAAAAAGUCCAUGCCACGAAGAAUAAAAAAGUUACGUAAUCCUGAAAUGAAAACAUAUUUUUCUACUUUCUGUUUGCUUUUUUUACUAGGCCACACUACUUCCAGUAAACAUGACAUCCUUCCCCUUUCCUGGCUUGAUAUCCCUAGAAAGGCGCAAGAUUUUUUUAAAAUCUAUACAUAUGUUUCAAUUCAGUAUCAACCUAUAAUCAACCAGAACAAAAUGAGUCAAGAAACAAAUUCAGAAAAAAUACACUAUUUUAGUUUCCUCCAUGUUUUGACAUUCAUCGGAGUUGUAAUACAAGAAUGGUACCUAUAUCAAUAAUGCCAUGCCUUAAACAAAUAAAUCAUUUAGUUAGUUUCAUUAAGUAGUCAUAUUUGAAAAUAAAAAAUGCCAUUAAAAGUGCUGUUUAGUUGUAUUGAUAAAAAUAACCCCACUAUUAAAGCAGUACUCGUUUCUGAAAACAGGCAAAAUUUGGAAAUCAGUCAUGAUUAUUAAAUGAUCUGUAAAUCUCAUUCUAGUCUAUCUGUAUGAAUGUUUUCUUAUUAUUUGGAUACUGUAAAGCUAGAAGAGUAUUCUUAUUUCUUAUUUUUAUUUUUUUCCUUCACUUUUAUUGAACAACAUUCAAUAGUUAACCCCUCCCCCUUUUCCCAUGAAAUCUACCCAAGUGUGUCUCUUG
rnacentral:lncRNA from 1 species